GCUAUACUGCACAAUAUAUAUCCUCCCUCAUUUUCUCCUCUCUCUUUCCCCUUUCUCUAUAAUCACCGAGAGAUGUUUUGACUGGCCAAAUCCCUAGCAUUUCUCCCGAGGUUAGUGCACAGUCAAUCAUAAGGGCUUGGGCCGAUCUUUUAAAAGAACCUCCAGAUUAUGUUACCUCCACCCAACAGGCAGCUCCAUUGAUCCCAUCGCGCUCUUUGUGGACUCCACCAAGGGGUGUGAAAUGUUGAGGAGUGAACCACUAUUGCAUGGGAGUCUUAAAAGAAGGACCUGGCAGCCAAGGUAUAACACAGAAAGAAAGGCAAACGGAGGUUUCAUUCCUGAAGGCAAGAUAGUCGAUUGAGGGAAGAAGCAACCCCAGCUGCUUCUGCCUGGAUGGCCACACACUGCCAGAAGUAGCUGCCAGGCUUGGUCAGAGGCUGCAGAAGAGGAAAGAUUGAGUGAAGUCAUGUAUUGUAAAACAGACGUUUUGAUCCUGUUCGGCAAUGUGAGUAAGUGAUGAGUAAGUAAUAGAGUCAGUCUCUCCCUUAAUAUAGACACAUUUGAACCACGAUGUCACCCCUCAACUUCAGUGACCAUUCACCCACAUAAGACUGUAAGGCUACACCCCCACCACCACCACCCUGACUGAGAUCCCACCAUCCUUGUUAUUAUGAUGAUGAAGAUGAUGGAUGGCAUUGGUGGUGGUGAUAAUGUUAAUAAGAAUAAUAUUGUUGUUGUUGCUAUUGUGUUUCAGUCGCCAUUACAUAGACACAUUUGUAAUUCUUGCUGAUAAUCAAACUUUCCCCCAGGAUCCUUGCUUUCAUCACUACACCCCUUUUUUCCCCUUUUUUCCCAUCUUCUCACCAACCCCCCCCCCCCCCACACAAAUUCUCUGUAAUUGUCUCUUUUCUUGUUGACUCUGUCAAAUAAAUGUACUGUAUGUUUCCUUUCAUCUAUAUUGUUUCUGUAUUCUGCAUCAAUGUAACUUGU